UACGGAGGGUGCAAGCGUUGUCCGGAAUCAUUGGGCGUAAAGAGCGUGUAGGCGGCCCGAUAAGUCCGCUGUGAAAGUCCAGGGCUCAACCCUGGAAUGCCGGUGGAUACUGUCGGGCUCGAAUCCGGAAGAGGUGAGUGGAAUUCCUGGUGUAGCGGUGAAAUGCGCAGAUAUCAGGAGGAACACCAAUGGCGAAGGCAGCUCACUGGGACGGUAUUGACGCUGAGACGCGAAAGCGUGGGGGAGCAAACAGG
rnacentral:rRNA from 1 species